UUUCCGUAGGUGAACCUGCGGAAGGAUCAUUAUCGAGUUUUGACUGGGUCGUAGCUGGCCUUCCGAGGCAUGUGCACGCCCUGCUCAUCCACUCUACACCUGUGCACUUACUGUGGGUAUCAGAUCGUGAAGCGUGCUCUUUUACCGGAGCUUGUGAAGCGUGUCUGUGCCUGCGUUUAUCACAAACACUAUAAAGUAUCAGAAUGUGUAUUACGAUGUAACGCAUCUAUAUACAACUUUCAGCAACGGAUCUCUUGGCUCUCGCAUCGAUGAAGACGCAGC
rnacentral:misc_RNA from 1 species